UAAUCGACGAAUAUUUUGUUUUGUAUAAAGUCCGCUAUCAGACAAUAAAUGAUAUAUGUAUAAUAAUUAAAUAAGAUAAGUUUGUAUUACGCCGAAUAACAAUCUUUUAUAGAGUUUUGUCAGAAAUAGAAGCGCGUCUACGUAACUAUACCGCUCCUAUAAUUAAACCGCCGGUGUAUGUAGACCGUCAUAGUUUCAGAGUCGUAAUGUCGGAAUUUUAAAGCAGUGGCAUCGCAAGUUUCAGCGUUUUACGUAUUACUUUCUUAUUUUCGUUUGAAAAUUACAAAAUUAAUAAAAUACUUGACGCAAAUAAAGAUGUGCUGCACUCGUUUUAAUAUUAUUUCUACUAUAUUCACGUUUCUAUCUUACAGUAAUUGAUAUAGCAUGGAAUCGCAAACGGAAGGCAUCUGUCCGAUCUGUAAUCAACGUGCAACGCUGAAAUGUAACGGUUGCAAGCAGCAAUUUUAUUGCAAAAAGGAGCACCAGCGACAGGACUGGCCUAGACACAGGUCAAAUUGUCAAGCAUGGGAGAUUCGUGAGAGCUGCGAACUCGGACGGUAUUUAGUGGCAUCAAGAGAUUUAAAUCCGGGCGACGUAAUCCUAUCAGAGUCACCUUUGGUUUGGGGACCGGCAUUACAUUCAGAUCAAAGAGUUUGCGUUGGUUGCGGGAAACAAUGCAAUAGUAGCGAUACAAGAUGCACGAAAUGCCUUUGGCCGGCGUGCGAUACUGAUUGUUCUGGUCUUACUGAUAAAAAUAGGCACGGUCUGGAAUGUUCUUUUCUUGUAAAAGCAAGAAUCAUUCCUAGGUGCGAUGUUCUCUUAGUAAUACGUAUGUUAAUAUUAUGGCGCAAGAAAUUGAAAUAUUGGUAUUCUAUAGAAAAGUUACAAAGUCACCAAGAUUCUCGUGGUCAAGGAACGAACGCAUAUGAGGAAACGAUGAACAUAUAUCAGCAUAUCGAACGUCUUUUACCAGACAAUCCCUCCAGCAAAGAUAUCGUACACAAAAUUUGCGGCUUAAUAGACGUUAACGCGUUGGAAACUAUACCACCUGAGGGCUGCGUUGCGAUUUAUGAAACAGCAUGUCUUUUGGAGCAUUCUUGCUUGGCUAAUACGAGACACAGCUUUAAAAUCGACGAUAAGGGUAGACCUCGAAUCACGGUCAUAGCUGUUUGUUCUAUACAGAAGUGGGACCAUUUAAGCACAAUGUAUACACAUGCACUUUGGUCAACGAGAGCGCGAAGAGCUCAUCUUUUGGAGACGAAAUAUUUUUCUUGCCAUUGCAAACGAUGUGCCGAUCCAACGGAAUUGGGCACGCAUCUUGGAACCUUAAAAUGUCCUCACGACAACGAUUUUAUUUUACCUAAGGAUCCAUUAAACUUUGAUUCGCAAUGGGGAUGUAUUUCGUGUCCUGGAACUUUGACUGCAUCGGAAGUGAUGCAGUUUGUUGGAAAAUUGGAGGAGGAUGUUGAUGAAAUUAUGUAUCAAGCAAACAAGAAUAAAUUGGUUGAUCUUCUGUCACGGCUCACUACGUUAUUGCAUCCUGGACAUCAAUUAUGUACAAGUGUCAGUCAUUCGUUGAUUCAGCUAUUGCCCCCAAGCGAUCCGAAAAAACCUGAACUAUGCAAACGUAUCAUAGAAACCACCAAAACGUUAGAUCCUUAUGGUGCAAGAUUAGCAUUGUACACUGCAGUCGCAUUGAGAGAAUUGUCUGCUUGUCCAGGAGAAAAUAGAGAAGGCCUUCUGUCAGAAGCAAUAUCGUUAUUGCAAUUUGAACCAGAGAAUUCGCCUGGUGAAAAGCUUCGAACGUUAAUGGAAUCUGAGUUAUGAUAAUUCUAUUAGAUUUAACAUUUAAUGAAAUAAUCGUAAUAAAAAUUAAAUUACAAAAAUUCUUCAUAUCCUGUAUUAUAUUUAGUAAUUUGCAUUUAGAAAAUGAAUUUAUACUGGAAAAAAGCAAUAUGAAAAAUGUUUUCCUUCGCAUGAUCUUACGCCAUAAUAGGUAUGUAACAUGACAUAUCGUCCGUAUUGAACAACAAAAUGGUUAUUUGCAAUUAUACAGUACGCAUAAUCGUGAUCAGCAGCACCGUGCUAUACAUAUAGUGCUAUGGUAGUUCAUAGUGCUGUUCUUAUGUGUCACAUUUUAUUACAUAAGAUAACGUUGUAUUUACAGUGUAAAUGUUACUUGUUUCUAGGUCAACGAUAUUGUUAAUGCGUGUUUGUCGUUGCAGAAGAAUUAAGUAGUGAAAACCUGUCUUACGCUGGAGAGAAAAAGUAGAAAUUCCAGACCUCGAACGUAUACUCGGAACGUCGUCGACGAUGAAGACCGCAUUGGUCUGGAAUUGUUGUCAUGCUGGCCAAUGACGAACUGCUCUUUAAUUCUCGUACGAGGAUGCAAUACUUAGCAGAACCUGCCGACUCUACCCCUACUGUCACUUCGUGGCAAGUUCUUAAGGAUCUGUACUCCCGUGGCGCACUUUUAGAUGGAAUCUAAACAAAGUGUUCACAGCCUUUCUACAUUUUCACUUGUAGAAUCACCCUUAACUAAUCGAACACUCUUAACACGCUUCUCGAAAUUAAGAUUCGUCUAAUUCUAUUUAUCUACAAAAAUGUCGAUGACAAGAAUUUUUUUUCUUAAACAGCUGAUCGUAUCUGUAUACCCAUUCUAUAUACAGCGUUAAGUUUUCUAAUAAUUUCAUCCAAUUAGAAGCAUCUAUUUUAUGUACCGUGGUAAUUUUAUGUACACAUUCGUGUUAAAGGUAAACGAAUAAUGCAAAAGUAGUAGGUAUGUAUAAAGCUUGUGAAUAUAUAGAUGUUUAUGUGGCAAUCAGCGAAUAGAUAUCAUUUCGUUUCGCC